rnacentral:rRNA from 1 species
GUAAGCUAACUUCGGUUAGCCUAGAGCGGCGGACGGGUGAGUAACGCGUGGGAACCUGCCUUUUUCUGCGGGAUAACGGUUGGAAACGACCGCUAAUACCGCAUACGCCCUACGGGGGAAAGGUCCGCCGGAAAAAGAGGGGCCCGCGUCUGAUUAGCUUGUUGGUAGGGUAAUGGCCUACCAAGGCGACGAUCAGUAGCUGGUCUGAGAGGAUGAUC